AAUCUCUUCCAAAAAAGCACCGGUCUGCAGAUGUCUGCAAGAGAACCCACGAACCCUCCUUCUUCUACGGCAGGGCAGCAGUUGGCAGGAGUACCAGUUGGAGGGAAUGAAUCGUCUACGUUGGCUGUUCAUCUUUAAAAAUUGACUCUUCAGUAGCAUGUGACAAGAGCUGGAAAAUGCUUCUGCAUCUGGUUUUCUUUGGGAGGAAAGACUUUGUGAAGUGUGAGGUGUAAGGAAAGACUCAUUCCCCUUUGGAUUAUGAAAGCAGUGCUUAUAAUAAAACUGUAUGUUGUGACUCUUCA